rnacentral:snRNA from 1 species
AUCUGUUUUUAUCAGUUUAAUAUCUGAUAUGUCCUCUAUUUGAGGACUACAUAUUAAAUGGGUUUUUGGAACAGGGAGAUGGAAUAGGGGCUUGCUCCAUCCACUCCGCGCAUCGACCUGGUAUUGCAGUAUCUCCAGGAACGGUGC